rnacentral:piRNA from 1 species
UCAUGGUGGGACAGAAGGAGAGGAAGU